AGCCAAGGAACAUCUGGAGCCUCCAGAAGCUGAAAAAGCACAAAGAACACAUGCCUGACAUCGAUGAACGAAUGGUGUUGUGCUGGUUUUCAAAAAGGGACUACCACUGGCAGAUGGUAGUUGGUUGAGGAAAAUGGAGGGAGGAUUCUACACAGCUUGGAGAAGACAAGUCUUUUGAAGGAUAUGACUGCUGUCUUUAAAUAUCUGAAGGGCCAUCUUUUAGAAAAGGAAGAAGUUAUGUUCUUUGCUGUCCCAGAUGAAACUAUCCCAGGUGGAAAUUUCCAGAAAAGGAACAAGAUGCUUUGUAAGAUGUAAUGAGCCCCUUUAGCUGCGACGAUUCUGUCGGGGGUGAGAGAUUCCUUGUAUGAGCUGUUGAAGAAAAGAUGAGAGGUUGUAUGUGGUCACUAAGAUCCAGAAAAUUCUGAGAGUUUUUGAUUCUCUGAUCCUAUAUCAAGAAGCUCAGCAUAGACCAAUGUUACAUAGACUUGGGGAUUGUGUGUGUAUGUGUGCCAUUAAAAUAAAAAUCAAAUAAAUAAGUUGGAAGAAUUGACACUAAGUUUUCAACUUUUUAUUUUUCCAAGUAAGUACAUUAAUAUUUAAUAAUGAAGAAUAACUUUCAAACACCACAUCC